rnacentral:rRNA from 1 species
GACGAACGCUGGCGGCGUGCUUAACACAUGCAAGUCGAACGGUGAAGGGGAGCUUGCUCCCCGGAUCAGUGGCGAACGGGUGAGUAACACGUGGGCAACCUGCCCCAGACUUCGGGAUAACGCUUCGAAAGAGGUGCUAAUGCCGGAUACGAACUCCUUGGGCAUCCUGGGAGUUGGAAAGUUUUUCGGUCUGGGAUGGGCCCGCGGCCUAUCAGCUUGUUGGUGAGGUAACGGCUCACCAAGGCGACGACGGGUAGCCGGCCUGAGAGGGCGACCGGCCACACUGGGACUGAGACACGGCCCAGACUCCUACGGGAGGCAGCAGUGGGGAAUAUUGCGCAAUGGGCGAAAGCCUGACGCAGCAACGCCGCGUGAGGGAUGACGGCCUUCGGGUUGUAAACCUCUUUCAGCAGGGAAGAAGCGAAAGUGACGGUACCUGCAGAAGAAGCACCGGCUAACUACGUGCCAGCAGCCGCUGUAAAAC